rnacentral:rRNA from 1 species
GACGAACCGUGCGAACGUUGUUCGGAAUCACUGGGCUUAAAGGGCGCGUAGGCGGGCUAUCAAGUCCGGGGUGAAAUCCUCCAGCUCAACUGGAGAACGGCCUCGGAUACUGAUGGUCUCGAGGGGGAUAGGGGCACACGGAACUGUGGGUGGAGCGGUGAAAUGCGUUGAUAUCCAUAGGAACUCCGGUGGCGAAAGCGGUGUGCUGGAUCCCUUCUGACGCUGAGGCGCGAAAGCCAGGGGAGCGGAACGGGAUUAAGAUGACCCUGGUAGUCCCCUAGGAACCAACGUCUCAGUCU